CUGGCGGCCGCCGGGCUGGCGGGCGGGCAGGCGCGUCGCCUCGAGGCCGCCCUCUGCCAGGAAGAGUCACUUCCCGGACACCGCGGGAGCCCUGGCGGAGCUAUGCGAAGAAUGUCCGCGCCGAGUACGGGGGGUGGCACCUCCCGGGCCCGCAUCGCCGCGGCCGCAGCCGCCGCUGCGCCCUGCAGAGCUUGCGCCUCGGCAAAUCUCUGUGGAACACAUCCCACGGUCAAGGACUGUUCUAUAUCCAGCAAGACAAGGCCCUGCUCACCCUGCCCUCCAGAGGUUAAGUGGGAGCAACCAGACAAUAACGGGCCUCUGAAAGCACAGAGGACCACCUACGGCCAGUCCCCCGAGGUGUGCAUGAAACUGCUGACUCCCGGACUGUGACCCAGCUCUUCUGAAUCCAAAGCCUGAAGACAGCCUUGGAAUCUGAAUAACCGCCUCCUCAGGUGACUCUGAGACCUCUUGCAGCUGCCUUCAGGGCAGACAAGCCUGGAUGCUCCUUUUGUCGUGAGACAGCGCAUUUCCUCUUUGUACCUUGACUAAGCCAAAGCUGGGAAAUCAGCAGGGAGGGAAGGUUCCGAGCUCGCGGGCCUGUAGGCGGCAAGCAUGGACAAGUGCAGCCCUUCCCUCUCCCUGAGCUGGAGGACGGCAGGGCCAAGGGAAGAGGAGGAGGAGGAUGCUCCUUCCCCCCGGCACUGAGCCCUCCCAGCUGUGCUGUGCUGGGAACAGGCCAGGCGUUUGUGAAAUCCUCGGGUGAGCCUGACCCACUGUCAUGAGGACUUGCCUGUGGAAGCUGGUGCCGGGAGGGGGAUGGGGGGCUGUUCCCAGAAGCGGGUAGAACUCUGGACUUCCCACUCCUGAGCGCUCUGAUUGCAGCACAGCCUUAAGCAACAGUAGCGGCCUGGAAGGCUGGGCUGCAGGCUGGAAGGCUGGGAUGCAGCCUGGAAGGAAGGCUGCGCUGCAGGCUGGAACACUGGGUUGUAGGCUUCAGGCUUUUUUUCAGAAAAGAAAUUAGGGUUCUGAAUGCUAAGACGUUGGGCUCUUCCAGUUAACACCAUCACUGCCGGUAUUCACAGCACUAUUCAGGCCCAGCCUCAGGAAGAGACUGCAAACCCA
rnacentral:lncRNA from 10 species